UCAGCAAUGAUUACGCUUACAGCAGGGCAUUGUCGUUAGCCCAGACGCUCGGCCAGCAGGGAGACGGGUAAAACGAGGACACAAGCACCAGGCAACGAGGCUGGCCCAUUAGCCGCAGAAGCAGUGGCAGAAAAAAAGGACACCAACCAGCAGUCGCCAAGCAUCAAAUUAUGCGGAACUGCAUUUUUACUUUUGGCAUGGAAAAUGCACACGAUUUGCAGUAAACGGAGAGCAGAGAGAAUACUUAUGAAUGGCUGAGUGCAGAUGGAUUCUAGUCAAGUAUAUGGAAACUGUGGUAGCAUCUGCUUCUGGUUGUAUGCAAUAAGUGUCGUGUGUUCUGCGUCCUGCCACUGUCUGGAUGCAAAUUUUUCGCACACGAUAUCGAAAAUCUCGAGAACUGCAGCCAAUCAACUGGAAAUUACCAAGCGUCGAGUUAAGUGCCCAACAGCAUCAACUCGCAGCGCACAGCUGAAUUGAUAACAGAUAUUGUGCAACAACAACAGACAGCAAGCAACAACAACAAUAGCAACAACCGCGAAGGGCGAUAAGCGGCUCGCUGCUCGCUGCUCGCGGCUUGCGGCGUGCGGCUUGCGGCCUCGCGGUUGUCGACUGCAAAACUUGAAGCUGCCGGUGGGGCGGCCAGUUCUUGUGACCGGCCAGCGUGGGCGUGGCAGCUGCUAAUGCGUGCACUAUAGUGCGCCCUGUUGCACCAACGGCAGCGUUGCCAGCUGAUGCCGUUUCUAACUAGUCGUACCACACCGAAAAUCCGUAGCCGGGCGAGGCGAAAGAGCCAGAGCGAUGCGACGGCGCGUGAGAGUGAGAGAGCCAAAUGCGGUUGCUGCGGCCAUUUUGGUGGGAGCGAGCACGACAUAGUCAAUAUUAAUGACAACAACAAAGGCGGCAACGUCGACGCAGUCGUCGGCAGCAACGACAACUGCAAAGAAGACGUCGACGUCGACCGCGACAGAGACCGCAGCUGCAGCUGGUCAGCGGCCCUGUUCUUGGAGACUUUGCCAGCUCCGCGACCUCAGAGUGUUUGGCUGUGUGCGUCUGUGUGCUGGAAUUUGGCGGCUGCGGCUCUAGAGAAUCUGCCACUGCUUGUGCCUAUGUGUGCGUGAAGCUUGAGCGAAAACUUUUGAGUGAAAGAAUGCCGAGUGUCCAAAGAUUUGAAUCUAGAGUUUCCACUCAUUCUCCCGGUUGGAACACUAAUCUUUUUAUUUAUUCUGAUUAUGAUUAUUAUUUUGAUUUUUAUUUCUGUAUAUUUUUUGGUUUUAUAACAUUUGCAGAUACAGUAAUUUCCGGAUUGUGCUAUUAAAAAAUACACUUCAAAGCACCAAGGCUGCACAUCUUUAUUUCAACUCUUCGACUUCCUACUUGUGAUGCAACCUGUCGCAUGUGGAUUUCGAGCUCCUUUGCUUUCGGCGAUUUAACGAUUUUAUGGUUUCUUUCGGUCCUAUUCAACGGCUUUAAGCCACGUCACACAACAUUGCACCCACUCGCACUCGCACUCGCACUCGAACAGGCACAGUCACACACACAUGCAGGGUUUACGAUCCUAGCAUCACCUUCUAGGCUGAAGACCAGGCCCGAACGAACAAGGCAGGCGUCGAAUAGUGUUUUAUUGUGAUUUUUUUUCAUGUUUAUUAUUAUUUGCUGCUCCUCUCACCCAGUUUCAAUUUUAUUAGUUUAUUACGGUUAUUAUCUUUUAAUGACGCGCGCGAGCGCCGUCAGCCGAGGUUCGGGUUGUUAUUGUUGUUUUUAUAUCGCAGUCGAUUAGUUGCCCCUGUUGUUGCUCUCAUGCCCAGUUAUUUAGCAAUAACGUGUGAAGUUGUUUUAUUAUUUGUUUUGAUUAUCAAAAUGGCCAGUUUCUAUUUUCCGGUCGUUGGGCGACCUCUUCCGCCCCUUCCCAGCGCCAUUACGUUCCGGUAGCAUGCAGGUGCUGUAAAUCACAACACGUCGGCAGCGAUCUGACUGCACUCAAAGUGGCAGUCACUCACAGCAGCAGCUCAACUUGUGACUGACUUGUAUGACCAAUAAAGCAAUUAAUUUUUAACAGUUGCUGCUGUUGCUGCUGCUGCUGCUGUUGCCGCCAGGGGCUUUGGAACCCCCAGCUGAUCCGACAUGGAGGCCAUAAAAAUGUUAUUUGCCAGUUCGUUAAAAGUAUUGCUUAUGGCAAAAAGAUUGAUCAAUUGACCAGCAUUUAUCGGCAGCGCAAAGAUUUCGAAAUUAAAUAAACAAAAUAAAACGCCUAUGUUCGGCACUGCGAAGACCACACAAACAUACCCAGGUCAAUUGUGAAUAGGAAGUAAUCCGACGUAGAUCAUUAUUGAGAAUUGAAACAAAAGCAUUUACAUAUAGCACUUUUCGCGACGAAUUCUUUCCAUGGAGCUAUGUAAUAUAGUUGUUUGAUCUUGAUCAAAUUCUGAUCAUAUGUUAGCAGCAUAGACUGAGAGACUAGUUUGACUAGUUAGACGGAUAUAAUGUUACGGCUAUUGACACUGGUCGAGGACAAAAGGAACUUAAAGAGUCCUUUUCUGUCUACAAAAAAAUUUAAACGAAAAAUUAAGUGGGGUGUUUUACUCUUGCAGAGAAUAAUUUUUAUAUACUCUUGCAGAGGGUAUUAUAACUUUAUUGUGAAUUGUGAUAGAAGGAGACAUCUCCGACCCCAUAGAGUAUAUAUGUUUUUGAUCAGUAUCAACAGCCGAGUCUGUCCUUCUGUAUGUUUCCCACACAGCCAUCUUUAUGAAACUUUGCAAAAGUACUUCUUUCCGUUGCACGCAGUACUUAAAUCGACACCAGCAGGAUCGGCCUUUAUAUCAUAUAUCUGUUAAAGGAACGAUCGGGUGAAGAGUAGGUUCUUGUAUGAUACCUUGACCAAACUCGGCAUUUAUUAGAUUUACUAUGCUUCCCACAUAUUUGCAAGAUCCUAUCAACAGCGGAUAUAUAUCACAUAGCUGCCAUUGGAACGAUGGGUCGAAAAGUAGGUUCUUGUAUGGAAAACUUUAUUGUUUUUCAAGAUAUCUUAACCAUACCCGGCAUUAACCAUUUUCCGUGAUUCUAAAAUACGGCAAAUCCACUACAAAAAUCAAGAAAAGGUUGGAAGGCCAGAUGAAAUAAUAUGUCUGACAUGUCUAUAUCGAUUCAUAUGUUAAGGCAAAUAAAUAACAUUUAUACUCUA